rnacentral:rRNA from 1 species
UACGGGGGGAGCAAGCGUUGUUCGGAUUUACUGGGCGUAAAGGGCGCGUAGGCGGCCUCUGCAAGUCAGUUGUGAAAUCUCCGGGCUUAACUCGGAAAGGUCAACUGAUACUGCAGGGCUAGAGUGCGGAAGGGGCAACUGGAAUUCUCGGUGUAGCGGUGAAAUGCGUAGAUAUCGAGAGGAACACCUGCGGCGAAGGCGGGUUGCUGGGCUGACACUGACGCUGAGGUGCGAAAGCGUGGGGAGCAAACAGG